GAUGAACGCUAGCGGCAGGCUUAAUACAUGCAAGUCGAGGGACAGCACAGGUAGCAAUACUGGGUGGUAACCGGCAAACGGGUGCGGAACACGUACACAACCUUCCUUUAAGUGGGGGAUAGCCCAGAGAAAUUUGGAUUAAUACCCCGUAAUAUAGUUGAAUGGCAUCAUUUGAUUAUUAUAGCUACGGCGCUUAAUGAUGGGUGUGCGGCUGAUUAGAUAGUUGGCGGGGUAACGGCCCACCAAGUCUACGAUCAGUAGCUGAUGUGAGAGCAUGAUCAGCCACACGGGCACUGAGACACGGGCCCGACUCCUACGGGAGGUAGCAGUAAGGAAUAUUGGUCAAUGGAUGCAAGUCUGAACCAGCCAUGCCGCGUGAAGGAUUAAGGUCCUCUGGAUUGUAAACUUCUUUUAUUUGGGACGAAAAAGGGCCUUUCUAGGUCAACUGACGGUACCAGAUGAAUAAGCACCGGCUAACUCCGUGCCAGCCGCCGCCGCAGUAA
rnacentral:rRNA from 1 species